AACUUUUUUGGCAUUUGUGUACUUUUAUUGCUAAGCCUGGCGACUAUAAUUUGGAGUGGGAGUGGGAGGUAUGGGGAGGUGAGCACAUGAGAGGAAGGCCAGGGCAGCCAUCCAGGGGGAGGCGGUGCUGGCCUGCACAGGGCAAGGGCAUGGGAGGACAGGAGGGGACAGCAGACAGCAUUUGUAUUUGUUUGCUUUUUUUUUUUUUCAUGAAAACUUGUUUUUGAAAUAUAACAUGCAUACAGGAAAGUGCACCAAUCAUAAAAAUAUUCCUUAAUAAAUUAUCAAAAGUGAACACAUCCGGGUAACUACCAGGUGAGUCCACAAACAGGACGAUGUUCUUGUGCCCUUCCUGCCCUGGGUUGGGACUCCUCAGUUCCACCUGUGCUGUUCACGCCUGGCCUCUUUCGUUCAGAGUUGUAUCUGUGAGAGUCCUCCAUGGGGCUGCAUGUAGUAGCAGUGGCUGGCCACUCUCAUUGCUGUAUUGCAUUCUGUUGUGUGAAGGGAUCACAAUUGAUUUUCCCUUUCUACUGUUGGUGGGCAUUUGGGUAGUGUCUGGGUUGGAGCUUUAGGAACAGUGCUGCUAUGAGCAUGCCAGAACCUGUCUAUGGGGGUGCAUUUGUACACAAGUGUGCGGGAUACAUUCAGUGAUGUGCCGGAGCCAGCUUGCAAGAGUCCAUGACAUGUGACGGGGCACGGUGGCUCACCUUUUUAUUUAUUUAUUUUUUUUUUUUGAGAGCUGGUUGUUAUACAUUUACCAGCACACCACUGGAUAUGUCCCUAAGAGUAGAUUGCUGGUUCAUAGGAGAUGUUCAGCUUUAUGUGUGACACAGUGUUCCAAAGUAUUUGUACUCAGUUAUACUCGCCCAGCAUUGUGUGAGCUCCAGGUGCUUCACAUCGUCACCGUGGAGAGGUUUUCAUGAGGUGUAGACAAGUUCACUGUGGGGAGGGAGGGGAAGGCGGGUCAUUCAGGGGAUGCCCACCGUCUGGCUGGGCUUCUGGAAGUGCCAUUUCUGAGAGAACCCAGGGAGAGCGGGUUUGAGGAUGGAUGGGCAUGGGGAGUCUGCAGGGCCUGGGGGCAUCCAGGGGUCAUCAGCUGUGUGUGUGCAUCGCACAUCUGUUCACCUGCUGCCCCCUCAUCCCUGCCCCAGGCUUCACCCCUGUGCCUCCCCUGGCCCCCAUCCUCUCCAUAGCCUCCCCUUCCUGCCUCCUCUUCCCCUUUGUCUAGGGUUGUGAGGGCACCUGCAGUGAACCUGGCUUUGAUGGUCCCUUCCACCCCAGGCACUGCCAUGAUUCAGUGUGGGACCUGAGACAGGUCAUGCUCCGCUCUGGACCUCAGUGUCCCCUUCUGUACACUGGGAUCCUGGGCAGAGGUUGUGGGGGGCAGACCUCGAGGUCCUGGUCUCCAGGGGCUGCAGGCUCUUGUUCUCCACAUCAUGGUUUGUGAAGCUCUUCACCCCUUCCAGAGUGAACUGCUCGCUGAGCCCCAAGCAUUUGUAGCCUUGCCACCUGCUUAUUAUCUAAGAUUUGUUGAGGGCUUUGCAGUGAGAAACACCUUACUUCCUCUGCUCCUCCCGUAGCCCUGUUCUCUCUGCACCUGGGGCCUAGGUCCAGGCAUUUGCUGGGGCCAAAUGGCCUUGAGAGUGGCCGAGUCAGAAUGCAAACCCGGAUGUGGGAUGACAGUGUCCAGGCUGGCAGAGCCAUAGGCAGUGCUAGGGCAUGCUGACUUGGUUCCCCUGUGGCCAGCUGAGGUCCUGGCACAGAGGAGAUGUCGCUGGAGGUCUGUGGAAUCAAAGAACACCCUGCUCCUGCCCCGCUCCUUUGUGCAGGGCUGGAUAGGCAGGAGGACUUGGACGGAGCCUGUGGAUGGGCUGACUGUGUGGUCGGGGAGGCGGGGGCACAGCUCUGACCAGCUGGGUCGUGGGGGGUGGUGCAUAGACGACUCCGAGACCAUGGCCCAUUUCACCGGAGCAGUUCUCUGCGAAGGCAGGAAGUGGUUUGUAUUUUCAGAAGGAAAUGAGCAGGGCUUGCUCGUGGGGAGCUCUAGACAGCUCUGGGAAAGGGCUCCAAGGGAAACAGGCCCCGGAGGGGAGGCCAGCGCCAGCCCCUCCCUGUGAGGCGGGCAGGUGUUGACCAGCAGGGCUGACAAACGAGCUGACCGUGUCCCUUCCCUGACAUUGCUGAGAGAUGCCUCCCUCCAGAGGGGGUUU
rnacentral:lncRNA from 10 species